GAGUUUGGAGAGGGUUCGGUGACUGGUGGGCAGUGAUAAGGGUGGUGGGGAUCUUGGCUUGCGGAAUUUGGCUGCUUUGGGGAUUUCUUCAUACAGCUCCUUUCCUUAUUUUUGUAUUAUUUCGCUUUUAUUUUUUAUUCCCUCCUUUUGAGUUUUGUGAAGGGGUUUGUUAUUUAUGGGUAGCGUGAAGAAUUGUGUUGUGAAAAGAAUCUGUCAGCCACCGGGGAGAUAUGGUAGGACGUAGCCGAAGGACUU
rnacentral:lncRNA from 1 species